UGCUCCUAGGGUUUCUCUUCUUGUAACCCCCGAGGCGCCGUCUUCCUCCCACUUCCCCCCAUUCUCCCCACCGCCGCCGCCGCAGGAGAAGAGAAGCAGCAGCCGCGCCAAGGAAGGAGAGAGGAGUUCGCAAGGAGGCGACCGACGAUGAGGGCCAAGUGGAAGAAGAAGCGCAUGAGGAGGCUGAAGAGGAAGCGCCGAAAGAUGAGGCAGCGAUCGAAGUAGGCCGGCUCAGGGAGACGGAUGAUGAGGGUGGUGGUGAUGGUGUGUUGUAGCUAUCCAUGUCUUUGGGCUGCGACUGUCUUGGCACGGCAUCUCCACCAUUCAUCUGUCGAACCGCUGCUUGUUUCAGACCUGCACUUGACCUGAUGUUAUUGUUGCUUUUAGUACUAUCAGGAGUUUUGCACUUGGAACCAAUCAGCUAUCGUGUAAGAACUAUGUUGAGGAGCUUUAUUUGCUGCUAAUAUCCAGCCAUCAUAUUUUUCCUGUGUU